rnacentral:rRNA from 1 species
CGUAGGGCGCAAGCGUUGUCCGGAAUUAUUGGGCGUAAAGAGCUCGUAGGCGGCUUGUCACGUCGGAUGUGAAAGCCCGAGGCUUAACCUCGGGUCUGCAUUCGAUACGGGCUAGCUAGAGUGUGGUAGGGGAGAUCGGAAUUCCUGGUGUAGCGGUGAAAUGCGCAGAUAUCAGGAGGAACACCGGUGGCGAAGGCGGAUCUCUGGGCCAUUACUGACGCUGAGGAGCGAAAGCGUGGGGAGCGAACAGGAUUAGAUACCCUGGUAGUCCACGCCGUAAACGUUGGGAACUAGGCGUUGGCGACAUUCCACGUCGUCGGUGCCGCAGCUAACGCAUUAAGUUCCCCGCCUGGGGAGUACGGCCGCAAGGCUA